UUCGCAAAUAAAAGUAACAUUAAUAACUGUUCAUCAAUUAUUGAAUAAUUUAAGCCUCACGUAGGAAGUAGUUAAUUAAAUGAUCAGAUAAUAUUCUUCUGAUAAAAUAUAGAGUACAUUAUAUAAUAUAAAUCAAUGAGGGCUCUCAAAGGAUCAGGAAGAAGAGGACUUCAGCGUUCACGUCGAUGUAUUCUCUCUGGUAACAAUAAUAAAGUACAAGAACCUUCGAUCCAUCAAUUAGCGCGUCGUGCCGGUAUUGAACGUAUUCCUACAUUAGUUUAUCGAAACAUUCAUCACGCACUUUAUAAUUUCAUAGAUAACGUUCUACAACAUGCUUUUAUCUUUACAAAACGUGCACAACGAAAUACAGUAACUAUCAGAGACAUUAAUUAUGCUUUAAUCCGUCGAGGCCAUACACAUAAUGGAUUUGAAUUCUGAACAUUUUAUACAUUGACUUUGUUAGCUUAUAAGCAUUACUCAUUGUAUUUCGGUAAUCAUCAUUAUAUAUCCGAGCAUCAUUAUUGCUACUACUAAGAUUCUAUUAGUAAAUUAUCAAUUUACAGAAAAAUAGUAUAUUACAUACCAUGGGAGAACAAUAGGACAUUCUGAGCCGCUUGUUUGCUGGACGUACAAAUAGUGGCAAGUUUUGGGACAGGCCCGCAGGGCUAACCGACGUCCAGAUUUUUUUAUCUAAUUUACUACCUGUUAUAAAACACUCAUUUUUUGUCAACAAUAAUUAUUAGUUGGUUAUAAAGUGCAAGAAAUCUAUACCAUAAAGAUGUCAAAAGUAAUAUUUGCAUUAAUUGCACUACUCGUUGUUAUUGUGAUGAUGGGAAACGCUGUCGAAGCUUGCAAAGAAGAUUUACGUGAUUGUCAACAAGAUGGCGACUGCUGUUCAGGAAAAUGUGCAACACAUUUAGAUUUUCUAGGAGUUCGUUUCUGCGCGAUAGUAUACAGAAAAUAAAAAAAAUUGGUGUCUGUACUUAUGUAAACGCGUUAGAAGUUUACUUUUUUGGCGUAAUUAAGAAAAAAAUUUUUGAAAUUGCAAAAAUUAACAUCAAUCAACUCAAAUCAUCAAAUUGAUAAAUCCUACAUAAAUAAUGCACCAAAUAAUGAAUUCGUUUCUGUACACAUAAAUUAAAAUAGAAUUUAUUAGAUAAACAUGAAAGUCUUUAUAUGUAUAAACAUUUAUAGAUUUCCAAAUAUGAAUCGAUAUCAAAUUACAUCUAAACCCAUAUUAACUAUAAAUAUGAUCAUAUUUCAUCACAUAAAACUCUAUUGAUGAUUAUACAUGGAAUUUUAUCAGCCAUAUUUCAUAGCAGUAAUUUAUACUAAUGUAAUAUAAUUUCAUAAUAAUUUGUAUAUGGUUACAAAUAUGACUUAUUCCUCAGACACAAUCAGAUAAAAUUGUAAACAACUCCAUAUAAUAAAACGAUUUGAGCAAUUCAACU